rnacentral:rRNA from 1 species
CAGCAGCCGCGGUAAAACGGAGGGUGCAAGCGUUAAUCGGAAUUACUGGGCGUAAAGCGCACGCAGGCGGUUUGUUAAGUCAGAUGUGAAAUCCCCGAGCUUAACUUGGGAACUGCAUUUGAACCUGGCAAGCUAGAGUCUUGUAGAGGGGGGUAGAAUUCCAGGUGUAGCGGUGAAAUGCGUAGAGAUCUGGAGGAAUACCGGUGGCGAAGGCGGCCCCCUGGACAAAGACUGACGCUCAGGUGCGAAAGCGUGGGGAGCAAACAGGAUUAGAUACCCCUGUAGUCCCUGUCUCUUAUAC